GAUCAUGGGCUCAGGAUGAACGCUAGCUACAGGCUUAACACAUGCAAGUCGAGGGGCAGCAUGGUCUUAGCUUGCUAAGGCUGAUGGCGACCGGCGCACGGGUGAGUAACACGUAUCCAACCUGCCGUCUACUCUUGGACAGCCUUCUGAGAGGAAGAUUAAUACAAGAUGGCAUCAUGAGUCCGCAUGUUCACAUGAUUAAAGGUAUUCCGGUAGACG
rnacentral:rRNA from 1 species